GGCAAGGUGGUCGAGUGGUUAAGACGUAAGACUUGAAUCCGCAAUGGAUGUUAUCUUAUCCCUUCGGGGUCGCGCGUUCAAAUCGCGUCCUUGUCG